CGGCGCUUCCCAGACACAACAGACGCAACUCUUCCACCCAGAACAGCUGAACUUUCCCUCACUCGGCAUCAUGCAAGCUCUGACCCUCCUGCUGGUGGUGGCCGUGGCCCUGGCGGUGCUGGUGGUGGUGCACGCCAUGCCAGAGCCCUUUCCCGACCCCGAGGCCCUCGCCGAUCCUGAUCCCUCUGCGAGCUUUGGCUACGGACGUGGGUAUGGCUAUGGAGGCUAUGGUCUCGGCUACGGUUAUGGCUACCGUAAUCGCGGCUAUUACUGGUAAUGUCAUAUGUCCAUAUCAUGAAGGGCGAGGCGAUGCCACACCCACAGUGGCAUUGCCGCAGCCCCUCAGCGCCCUGUCACCGCCCCGCCUCCUGCUACAUGAGCACCUUCAAGUAAUCUUCUGCCAAAUCCGAUCAUAUUUUUAAGUAACACAAAAUGUGACGAAACUGUACUUCCUUACUGUCUAUCUCAAAAUAAAAAUAAAGCAUUAUAAA